GUGAACGCUGGCGGUAGGCCUAACCCAUGCCGGUCGCACGGCAGCACAGUAAGGGCUUGCUCUUACGGGUGGCGAGUGGCGGACGGGUGAGGAAUACAUCGGAAUCUACUUUUUCGUGGGGGAUAACGUAGGGAAACUUACGCUAAUACCGCAUACGACCUACGGGUGAAAGCAGGGGAUCUUCGGACCUUGCGCGAUUGAAUGAGCCGAUGUCGGAUUAGCUAGUUGGCGGGGUAAAGGCCCACCAAGGCGACGAUCCGUAGCUGGUCUGAGAGGAUGAUCAGCCACACUGGAACUGAGACACGGUCCAGACUCCUACGGGAGGCAGCAGUGGGGAAUAUUGGACAAUGGGCGCAAGCCUGAUCCAGCCAUACCGCGUGGGUGAAGAAGGCCUUCGGGUUGUAAAGCCCUUUUGUUGGGAAAGAAAAGCAGCAGGUUAAUACCCCGCUGUUCUGACGGUACCCAAAGAAUAAGCACCGGCUAACUUCGUG
rnacentral:rRNA from 1 species